rnacentral:rRNA from 1 species
GGUAACUACGGCACGUCGGCGAGGGGAAGAUGUGGGGGGGAAGCGGUGUCCUGAUUUAUUGGGCGUAAAGGGGGCGCAGGCGGGUUCGUAAGUCGGAUGUGAAAGCCCACGGCUCAACCGUGGAAGGUCAUUGGAAACUGGGGAACUUGAGUGCAGAAGAGGGGAGUGGAAUUCCAUGUGUAGCGGUGAAAUGCGUAGAUAUAUGGAGGAACACCAGUGGCGAAGGCGACUCUCUGGUCUGUAACUGACGCUGAGGCUCGAAAGCGUGGGGAGCAAACAGGAUUAGAUACCCCGGUAGUC